GACGAACGCUGGCGGCGCGCUUAACACAUGCAAGUCGAACGGAAAGGCCUGCUUUCCCUUGUGGAUUGCGGGUACUCGAGUGGCGAACGGGUGAGUAACACGUGAGUGAUCUGCCCCCAACUUGGGUAUAAGCCUGGGAAACUGGGUCUAAUUCCCGAUAGGACUGCAGGGUGGUGCCUGUGGUGGAAAACGAUCUUCUAGUGGUUGGGGAUGAGCUCGCGGCCUAUCAGCUUGUUGGUGGGGUAAUGGCCUACCAAGGCGGCGACGGGUAGCCGGCCUGAGAGGGUGGACGGCCACAUUGGGACUGAGAUACGGCCCAGACUCCUACGGGAGGCAGCAGUGGGGAAUAUUGCACCAUGGGCGGAAGCCUGAUGCAGCGACGCCGCGUGGGGGAUGACGGCCUUCGGGUUGUAAACUCCUUUCGACCGCGAGGAAGCCACCUGGUUGGAAGGGUGGUGACGGUAGUGGUAGAAGAAGCACCGGCUAACUACGUG
rnacentral:rRNA from 1 species